GACAGAGGGUGCAAACGUUGCUCGGAAUCACUGGGCGUAAAGGGCGUGUAGGCGGGAAGGAAAGUCAGAUGUGAAAUCCCUGGGCUCAACCCAGGAACUGCAUUUGAAACUCCCUUUCUUGAGUACCGGAGAGGAAGGUGGAAUUCCUGGUGUAGAGGUGAAAUUCGUAGAUAUCAGGAGGAACACCAGUGGCGAAGGCGGCCUUCUGGACGGUUACUGACGCUGAGACGCGAAAGCGUGGGGAGCAAACAGG
rnacentral:rRNA from 1 species